CUACCGCCUCUCGCCCCACCCCCCACAUCCUCCUUCCCGUCCUCAGCACCCCGCCCCCCCUUCCUCUGCCUCCCCCCCAUCCCCAUCCUCAGCGCCCCACCCCUAAUUGCCUCCAACCCAUUUCUCAUUGCUGGGCCCCACUUUCCCAUCCUCCCACUCCCCCAGUCCUUCCCCAGGGUGUGAGGUUCCUCAUCUUCAAUCUCUGCUACACCCAAACCUGCCAGGUUCCCCUUUUCAACCACUGUGGGGUUGUCCAACCGCCGACACCCAUCCACUCUGGGCUCUCUAAAUCCCACAUUCCCACAAUGCUCCUUGGUAACGCCACUCUUCUCUAUCCCUAAUCCUCCUAUUCCCUUCCCUCAGGUCCUCCUGGACACCCCAGCCCACAGUCAGGCCUCCUCAUACAUCCCAGUCAUUCACAUGCUGAGCUAGUUCUUCAGGGACCCCCACAGCCCAGCAGACUUCUCCAUCCAUGAGCCCCAUGGACCUGUGGCCAGGAAGGGAAAAGAAGUCGCGGGGACGGAGUCCAGCCCUGAGGUGAGAUGGAAAGUGAUCAAGAGCAGUGACAGCGUGAAUCCUGUUGAUGCCAGGCAAGAGCUCCCCAACUGGGACAAGAGUAACCGUCCCUGUUGCAAGGGGAAGAAAAAGAAGCUCUCCUUCAAGCGGGAGUCAGAAGGGCGACGUCAGGAUGACUUUCUGAAUGCCGGCUCUAGUCAUUUGCUCUACCAGCUGACCUAUCGAAGGGCUGCCACCUCUCUCUCCAGGUUCGCCCAUCGGUGUGUUCAGAAUGGAGAGGGGUAACUAGUGGUGUUCCCCAAUGGUCAGUCCUAGGAGCACUCUUAUUCAAUUUAUUCAUAAAUGAUCUGGAGAAAGAGGUAAACGGAGGUGGCAAAGUUUGCAGAUGAUACUAAACUGCUCAAGAUAGUUAAGACCAAAGCAGACAGUGAAGAACUUCAGAGACGUAACACAAAACUGUGAUUGGGCAACAAAAUGGCAAAUGAAAUUUAAUGUGGAUAAAUGUCAAGUAAUGCACACUGGAAAAAAUACCCUCAACUAUACAUACAAUAUGAUGGAGGCUAAUUUAGCUAUAAAUAAUCAGGAAAGAGACCUUGGAGUCAUCAUGGAUAGUUCUCUGAAGACUACCAUGCAGAGUGCAGCAGCAGUCAAAAGAGCAAACAGGAUGUUAGGAAUCAUUAAAAAAAGGAGAAUAAGAUAGAGAAUAUCUUACUGCCUUUAUAUAAAUCCAUGGUACACCCACAUCUUGAAUACUGUGUACAGAUGUGGUCUCCUCUUUUCAAAAAAGAUAUACUGGCAUUAGAAAAGGUUCAGAGAAGGGCAACUAAAAUGAUUACGGGUUUGGAAUGGGUCCCAUAUGAGGAGAGAUUAAAGAGACUAGAAAUUUUCAGCUUGGAAAAAGAGAAGACUAAGAGGGGAUAUGAUAGAGGUAUAUAAAAUCAUGAGUGGUGUGGAGAAAGUGAAUAAGGAAAAGUUAUUUACUUGAUCCCAUAAUAUAAGACCUAGGGGCCACCAAAUGAAAUUAAUAGGUAGCAGGUUUAAAACAAAUAAAAGGAAGUUCUUCUUCACACAGUGCACAGUCAACUUGUGGAACUCCUUACCUGAGGAGGUUGUGAAGGCUGGGACUAUAACAAUGUUUAAAAGGGAACUGGAUAAAUUCAUGGUAGCUAGGUCCAUAAAUGGCUAUUAGCCAGGAAGGGUAAAAAAUGGUGUCCCUAGCUUCUGUUCAUCAGAGGAUGGAGAUGGAUGGCAGGAGAGAGAUCACUUGAUCACUGCCUAUUAGCUUCACUCCCUCUGGGGCACCCAGCAUUGACCACUGUUGGUAAACAGAUACUGGGCUAGAUGGACCUUUGGUCUGACCCGGUAUGGCCGUUCUUAUGUUCUUAUAGGGCAUCUUCUACACGGCGACUGGGCAGUUGACUGACUUUAAAUCUAGCUAGCUCUGUUGGUAGAGCAUGAUGCUCUUAAUCCCACCAUCAUAAAUUCAAGCCCCAUGGUGGGUGAUAGCGACAGCCCUUAGGUGUCACUCUUCUGCUAAUAGUCACAGAUCAAAAGGAAACAAACUCUCUGUGCUCUUUGGCAGGUCAUGUUUCUUCUUCUCUCUGAGCUUCACUAAAACAUGAAGAGAGAACAAACUGACAUUUGCAUCCUCUGUUAAGAGAGUAUUUUCUCCUCUUCCAUUGUACCCCAGGCAAGAAGAGGGGAUAAUAACCAGUUAACGGAUGAUUGCAGAAGGAAAAGUUUGGUCUUUAUAAAUAGGGCAAUUAUCAUUUGGUCUCCAUGUCCACUGAUGGUAGGACAAGAAGUAAUGGACUUAAUCUGCAGCCAGGGAGAUUCACGUUAGAUAUUGGGAACAGCUUUCUAACUCUGAGGGUAGUUAAGCUCUGGAAUAGGCUCCCAAGGGUGUCUGUGGAGUCUCUGUCCUAGGAGGCUUUUAAGAACAGGUUGAACAAACCUCUGUUAAGGAUACUCUGCAUAUACUUGGUCCCAUAGACAACCUGCUCUGGCUCUGCUUCCCUCCUUCUGCUCCCUGCCUGGGCCGGCUGCUCUGGGCACUUGGUCCCACAUGCCCCCAAUGCAUCGUCUCUGCUUGGCUCUGCUUCAGCAGAGAGGGCUGGAUUUCCUGACCUCUCCAGAGCCCU